AUGACAUCUCAAGGAUGGGUAGCACAAAGGACUGUACACAUUAUACAGAGUGACCCUACUAUUGGAUGCAAAGAGCUGUUGGGGCAUUUGGAAGAUACAUAUGGCACAACCAUUGAGUAUCAUACAGUGUGGAAAGGCAAAGAUAUAGCACAGAAAGAGAUAUAUGGUAGCAUGAGGCAGAGUUUUCAAUAUUUGUUUAACUUCAAAGCAGAAGUUGAGAAGAGAUCACCAGGCAGCAUUGUAGAGGUGGAUAUGAAGAUGGUUCACGGUAUUGUUCGCUUUAACCGAUUCUUUAUGGCUCUUAAACCUUGCAUUGAUGGCUUUAAAGCUGGUUGUAGACCAUAUCUCAGUAUAGAUUCAACUACACUCACCGGUAAAUGGAGAGGUCACUUAGCAGCUUGUACAACAUUAGAUGGGCAUAAUUGGAUGUAUCCUCUAGCAUUUGCAUUCAUUGAUGGUGAAACCGAUGAAAAUUGGACAUGGUUCAUGUCACAACUAAAUAGGGCAUUAAGUCCUGUUUCCCCUCUAGCUAUAUGCACAGAUGCAUGUAAAGGUUUAGAGAAUGCAGUCAAAAAAAUAUUCCCUCAUGCAGAUCAAAGAGAGUGUUUUAGGCAUCUCAUGGCUAACUUCUCUAAAAAGUUCCAAGGAGAUGUGUUUGGCAGAAUGUGGCCAGCUGCUAGGGCAUAUAGGCCACAAGUUUUUAACUACCACAUGAAUAAAAUCCUAGCAGAAGCACCUAAUGUGCAUGAGUAUCUCUCAAGGUACCAUAGCUUAAAAUGGAUGAGAUGCAUGUUUGACCCCUCAAUUAAAUGUGAUUACAUCAAUAAUAACCUUGCUGAGUCUUUUAAUGGUUGGAUUAAAGAUUACAAAGAGUUGCCACCUGAUGAGCUAGCUGACACUCUUAGAGAGCUAGUCAUGAAACUUCGUGAGAAAAGGAGAAAGAUUGGAAUGAAACUGAAAGGAAAAAUUAUUCCAGCCAUCAUCCAACAGAUUCAUAAUAGGACAAGGGGACUUAAACAUUUGAAAGUUGGGAAAUCUGGAGUUGCAAGUUGUGAGGUGAGGGAUACAAGUAAAUACAACUUGCGACAUGUUGUGAAAACUGCCCAAAGCGAGUGCACGUGCUUGGAGUGGCAGCACACAUGGAAGCCUUGUGAGCAUGCACUUGCUUUCUUGCUGGAUAGAAGGAACCCCAAAUGGGAGGAUUACGUGCAUGACUAUUUCUCUCUAGAGAAGUUUAGGGCAGCAUAUGCUGGAGAGGUUGAGCCAUUGACAGAUAGGUCUCAAUGGCCACAUGUACAAUUUCCAUUUGACAUGGAGGCUCCAUUAGACAAGAAAAGAGGUGUUGGAAGGCCUAGAAAAAACAGGUACAAGAGCUUCCUUGAAGGUGGAGAUGGUGGUCCUAAAAAGAAGAAAGAACCAAAACAGCUAGGCAGCAAGAAUAGAUGCAAAAGAUGCCACAUUUUAGGCCACAGGCAGUCUACAUGUCCACUGAAUGGACCAAGGCCAAGGAAAAGAAAGAAGAGAGCACCAAGAUAUCCAGUUGAUGAUGAUGCCUCAGCACCGGAACCUGAAGUGGCAGCCCAACAACCUGAAGUUGUUGUCACUCCCAAUAGGCACAUGAUCACCAUGCCACAAAUUCUUCAAGGCAGUCCCAAUCCAGUGACAAGAAGCAUGUUGGCUUCAGCAUUGGCUGAUGAGGCAACACAUGCAGCACCACAACUUGAUGUGGCUGUCACUCCAACCAGGCACAUGCUCACUAUGCCACAAAGUCUGCAAGGAAGUCCCAAUCCAGUCACAAGAAGGAUGUUGGCCAUGGCAUUGGCUGAUGAGGCGUCGCAACAACCUACCCCAAUCGUGGAGGACACCAUGAUAGCAUAUGACAUGGCCUCAAGCUCGAAAGCUAGAAAGUUGACCCCGAAGAGAAGGAAGUACUAG
rnacentral:rRNA from 1 species